CAAAGACAGAGGCUGCAAUUUGCUGUGAAUUCAAUGGAAAUGUUACCACAAGAAGAAUACAACAACUUCAGGAUUACAAGAAGAAACAGCAACUAGAGGUGAGAUAUCUCCAUUAUUACCAGGAUUACAAGAAGAAACAACAACUAGAGGUGAGAUAUCUGCAUUACUUUCAGGAUUACAAGAAGAAACAACAACUAGAGACUCUGUGGAAAUACCUUAAACUGUCUUUAAAAAGAGAGAAAGCAGAGAGAGAUUUACUACUGGUGGUGGACCUCCAAAACAACACAA